GAAAUGCGAUAAGUAAUGUGAAUUGCAGAAUUCCGUGAAUCAUCGAAUCUUUGAACGCACAUUGCGCCCCCUGGCAUUCCGGGGGGCAUGCCUGUCCGAGCGUCAUUGCAGACCAGCUCAAGCGCGGCUUGUGUGAUGGGCCCCCCUGCGUCUCCGGCUCCCCCCGGAGACGGGCCCGAAAGGCAGUGGCGGCGUCGCGGUGGAUCCGAUCGCCCGCAGCGUAUGGGAACCUGGCGCUGGCGGCGCGGACCGACGCUCGCCCGGAGACCACGAUCUUCCUCAAAAGGUUGACCUCGGAUCAGGUAGGGAUACCCGCUGAACUUAA
rnacentral:misc_RNA from 1 species